rnacentral:lncRNA from 1 species
UGCUGAUUUGACUAGUUCCGAUUUAACAAGGUGCCGAUUUGAACAGGUGCCGAUUUGACUUGAAGUUGUACCCAUUAUAAAUUGCCUUCCGACAGAAUUUCGGCUGUAAAAUCUCGUCUCUGUCCACAUUUCAGUCCUAACCUUUUGAAAUGUGAUGAAACAUCCCCCUGGCAAUCAAAUAACUCUACUAAAUGUGUGCCAUGAAGAUGUAAACAUAAAACAUAAAUUGAUAAUGUUACAGACAGCAUCCAUGUUGU